UACGAAGGGGGCUAGCGUUGCUCGGAAUCACUGGGUGUAAAGCGCACGUAGGCGGAUUGUUAAGUCAGGGGUGAAAUCCUGGAGCUCAACUCCAGAACUGCCUUUGAUACUGGCGAUCUCGAGUCCGGGAGAGGUGAGUGGAACUGCGAGUGUAGAGGUGAAAUUCGUAGAUAUUCGCAAGAACACCAGUGGCGAAGGCGGCUCACUGGCCCGGUACUGACGCUGAGGUGCGAAAGCGUGGGGAGCAAACAGGG
rnacentral:rRNA from 1 species